ensembl:lncRNA LINC00964 long intergenic non-protein coding RNA 964
AUCAGCAGGCUCUCUCAUACAGAAGGAGGAGAAAACAGAGUGUGUAUCCUUCACAUGUGUGAGCAGUAUCUUCUCUCUGGCUCUUCAGGGUCUCAGCAAGCCAUUUCCCCAUAGUAUAAUAAUUUCGGUGAAGGAUCUAAAACCUGAAAAGAGGCCAAAUGAUUCCUCAAAACCACGCAAGUACGAAGUAGCAGAGCGGAUCUCAAAUCCAGAUUGUCUACUUCCCCUCCUAGACUGUACUCUCCACAAGAGAGCAAAGCUGUGUCUGUUGCAUUCACUGUUGUCUUCCCAGAAGCAAGCAGCAUGCUGGAGACCCUCAAAUACAUGUGAAAUGAAGGGACACCUUGUGUUAUUUCACCUGUUUCCACCUGGUUCCCAAGUGGCAAGCUUGCAUUGAGGUUACAAAGUGGCAAAGCUGGGAUAUCACAUGAUGUCACCAUGAUGCUAUAUGAAAUGUAACAUUAAUUGAGUACCUAUGUGACCAGUUCUUUAAUUCUGUAAGUGAACUCUCAAAAAACCCUAGGUAAGUAUUAUCAACUCGAACUUUAACGGAUGAGGAAACUGGAAUUUUUUAAAAAAUGACUUAACCAAACAUCACAGAGCUGUAAACCAGGAUUUGAAUGGGUGAGCUGCACUCAGCCUUCAUCUCAAGUCAGUUUGCCUCUUUCUCCAAGAAGCCACAGUUGAUCCUGACCACAUCACAUAUGAGUUGCCUGGAUUGCAGUCAUUCAUUCACUAAGCAUCUUUUAGGAGGUCACAUGCCAGGCACCGUGUUAGACACAGAGGGAUUGAAAUGCAUAACAAUAGAGAUGAAACACGAAGAGUGAUAAAUGAAGAUUGAGUGUGCACACCUUCUGGAGGAGCCCUGAUUGAGUAUUUUAAAAUACUACUAAAGUCAUGCCGUGUGACUUCUGAAGCUAGCUCCUAAGAAGUCCUUGCAGCUUCUGCCUGCGACUCUUAGAACACUUGCUUUGAAGGAUGCCAGAUGCUGUCUUAAAAGUCUGAGCACUCUGAAACCAUCAUGCUGUGAGGAAGCCCAAGCUAACCACAUGGGCAAAAAAGAUGCCCUCUGACUGCCACCAUUUGAGACACUCUAAUUAAGAACUGCCUCAUUGAGCCCAUGAGGCCCUGUGAAUGAUAAUAAUAAAUUGUUUUUAACC